rnacentral:lncRNA from 1 species
UGUAACAGAACAUCCUUUGUAAGGUAUUGAAUAUGUGAGUAUGUUUUUUUUCUUACAACUAUAGGGUAGUAGGAGUAUCUGUGUAAAAUUGUUAUGAUAUUCCGUGGUAAGGUUUAUAAUACAUUAGUAUUUCCUACUUUCUUUUCUUUGCCUUGGUUAAAGAACAAAGGUUUUACUUUUGCAGGCCUUAGAAACUUAGGAUUCUUAUAGCGUCAACUCAAGCCGGAGAAGGAAGCUGGCUCCUCUAAGCAUUGUCUCCCCAAACAUCUGAACAUGUGUGCUCCUCAGUCUUCCUCUUCCUAGCCGAUUAUGUCAGUUUGAAGCUCGACAUACAUGCUUCAUGGGGUACUUUGAAAUCAUUGACAUUUUUUAAGUCAUGGUACUGAAGUUAUGAUUAUGCUUAGCUACGUUGUUAUGAUUAUCCAUAACAACAUUGAUAUUAAAUAACAGUGUACCCAUAGUUAGUAAUGACAAUGAUCUCUGUUUAGAAAAAAAUUCCAGAUAGAGUAGUUCCUUUUGAACUGCUAGAAUUGACGCAUUAUCUGAUGUACUGUGAUAUGUAACUGGAGAUGCUAGCCAGGGGGCCAAAUUUGUUCUGAACGACUUCCUUCUGUUCUUUAAGAUAAGGAAUCUCUUGAAUGAUUGUUUUGAGCUUUUCAGCUAAUCAUUGAGAUAAAAAGAAGUAAUUUGGAAACUUUGACUGGGAGCUUACAUUUACUUCUUACAUUCCUUGUUUUAAUGUUAUAGUCUGCAAAUUGAGAAUAGCACCGCAUUGUACUAAUUGAAUACUUCAACUCUGGCAGAUCGUACUAAUUGAAUACUUCAACUCUGGCAGGUCGUAUUUAUGCUGCUUGUUCAAUGUUGUCAUGCACUUCAGUUAUUCUUAUAGGACUCGGCUGUCUUAAUAUUUCCAACAAUGAAGGAAAUGUUCUUUGGAUAUUAUGGGGGAAGGUUGUGGUUUAGUACUAGACUCAGGAAACCAAUUAAACCAAGAGGCGCUUGGAGAAACGGUGUUACAGUCUGAGCCAUGUGAGACAUGGCCAGGAUGCAUUUGCUACUUGAAGCCAGGAGACAUUGCUUUACACAAAGGACAAGGGUUCUGGUAAUGUUUAUGUAAUUGAUGAUCUGAUGAGCAUUCAGAAAUCCUACUGUUUAUGAAGGAUCCUCACUAGUCCCUGAAAGAGGCUUUAUAGCAUAAUCAAGUUCUAAAAUUUUAUUGAUGCAGGGGUGCAUUUUGUACUACAGUUUUGAUUGCUUUAGAAAAGAGUAUUUAGAUUGUUUGAUAAUAUCAUUGCAUUAGAACAAACAAAUUAUGGGAU